rnacentral:rRNA from 1 species
AGCGAACGCUGGCGGCAGGCCUAACACAUGCAAGUCGAACGAACUCUUCGGAGUUAGUGGUGGACGGGUGAGUAACACGUGGGAACGUGCCUUUUGGUUCGGAAUAACUCAGGGAAACUUGUGCUAAUACCGAAUGUGCCCUUCGGGGGAAAGAUUUAUCGCCAUUAGAGCGGCCCGCGUCUGAUUAGCUAGUUGGUGAGGUAACGGCUCACCAAGGCGACGAUCAGUAGCUGGUCUGAGAGGAUGACCAGCCACACUGGGACUGAGACACGGCCCAGACUCCUACGGGAGGCAGCAGUGGGGAAUCUUGCGCAAUGGGCGAAAGCCUGACGCAGCCAUGCCGCGUGAAUGAUGAAGGUCUUAGGAUUGUAAAAUUCUUUCACCGGGGACGAUAAUGACGGUACCCGGAGAAGAAGCCCCGGCUAACUUCGUG